rnacentral:lncRNA from 1 species
UGGCCCCAAAAUUUAGCAGUUUUACAAAAUUGUUAAAAUGUAAACUUUUAGUUAUUUAUUGGACAGUAGAAUGCUUCUGCUACAUACAUAUGGGCUGUUUUUGACAAUACAAUGCACAUAUAUCGGGUACUAGCACCAUUAAGUCAUGCUAAAUUACUAAAAUCUUCACAAUUCUAGCAUUUUAGUUACAUUUUAGACGGUUUCCGUGUAAAACGAAAGUGGCCGCAUUCGUGUUCAUCCAUGAUAUUGAAAUUUAAGUUGUAUUUGAUGAUAAUACAUAACAUAUAUAAAGGUUGAGAAU